AACGAACGCUGGCGGCAUGCCUAACACAUGCAAGUCGAACGAGAUCUUCGGGUCUAGUGGCGCACGGGUGCGUAACGCGUGGGAAUUUGCCCUUUGGUUCGGAAUAACAGUUGGAAACGACUGCUAAUACCGGAUGAUGACGAAAGUCCAAAGAUUUAUCGCCAGAGGAUGAGCCCGCGUAGGAUUAGCUAGUUGGUGUGGUAAAGGCGCACCAAGGCGACGAUCCUUAGCUGGUCUGAGAGGAUGAUCAGCCACACUGGGACCGAGACACGGCCCAGACUCCUACGGGAGGCAGCAGUGGGGAAUAUUGGACAAUGGGCGAAAGCCUGAUCCAGCAAUGCCGCGUGAGUGAUGAAGGCCCUAGGGUUGUAAAGCUCUUUUACCCGGGAUGAUAAUGACAGUACCGGGAGAAUAAGCCCCGGCUAACUCCGUGCCAGCAGCCGCCGUAA
rnacentral:rRNA from 1 species